AUGGACCAAAGAAGGUUAGACAGACUUUCAAAUCUCUCAAUUUUCCAACGGACAUGGCCACGAAAAUUGAGGUUGUCAACACAGACCAUCAAGCCGUCCUCUCCAACUCCACCUCACCUAAGGAACUUCAAUUUCUGCCUCCUCGACCAGCUGGCUCCACCGUUUUAUGUUCCGGUCGUCCUGUUCUACUUGGGUCCUGACCAAAAGGCGGCGCCAGACUCAGCCUUGGUUUCGGGAAACUUGAAAACUUCGCUUGCGCAGGCGCUUUCCCUCUUCUACCCUCUAGGUGGAAGGGUGAAAGGAAAUGCUGGCAUUAAUUGCAAUGAUGAGGGUGCACUCUAUAUGGAGGCGAAAGCUCGCGUCGAGCUGUCUAAAGUCCUUUCGAACCCAGACAUGGAUCAGCUGCAGCAAUUCCUCCCAUUCUUUCCAUGCAGAGUCAGUACCAACAUUGACGAACAAGUCAUAGUAGGGGUCCAAGCCAACUUUUUUGACUGUGGCGGCAUGGGGAUCGGCAUCUGCAUCUCUCACAAGAUUGCUGAUGGGGCGUCGGUUUCUGCUUUCCUCAACGCAUGGUCUGAAAUUGCCAACAAUGGAGUCGAUGGUGAAGCGAGCCUCAUCACUCCCUUCCUGAAAGCAUCUGAGCUCUUCCAACCAAAGGACAUAAACUACCAAAUGCCAUCCGGAGUCAUCAGCAGAGAGAAGCUUUCGACCAAGAGGUUUUGUUUCAAUGGCGAGAGCUUGGCUCGCCUCAGGGCCGGGUUCGGUGGUGCCAAUCCUACUCGUGUUGAGGCCGUGACCGCCCUCAUUUGGAAAUCCGCCGUGGCAGCAGCAAGGAAGAGGCCAGAGUGGAAGGAGAAGUAUCCCCCAUCGUCAGCAGUCAUGCAUGCGGUGAACAUCAGAAGCAGGAUAAGGCCACAACCAUUGCCUGAGACUACCUUGGGCAAUCUGGUGCAGGCCGUUGUGGCACCACUCAUGGAACCAAACAAGGGUGACGAAUUGCAGGACUUUGCAGGCAUUCUCAGAAAUUCAAUAAGGGCAAUUGACAGCGAAUAUUUGAGCGCGCUUCAAGGCGAGAAUGGAUUGGCUAAGGCCUGCGAGAACCUCAUGGCGAUACGGAAGCUGGCAGCGUCGUCUGCCAUCGAGCUCUACAGGUUCAGCAGCUGGGCGAGGUUCCCGUUCUAAGAGGUUGAUUUCGGCUGGGGAAGACCUGCUUGGGUGUGCACCACCAGUGUUCCCAUAAAAAAUUUGGUCAUUUUGAUGGGAACUAGAUGCGGGGAUGGGAUCGAAGCAUGGAUCACCUUGGCCGAGCACGACAUGAUCGACUUCGAGCACAACGAUGAGUUGCUACAAUUUGUUUCGCCAAACCCCUGA